GUCGUGGCCGAGUGGUUUAAGGCGCUUGACUAGAAAUGCGAAGGUUGAGGGUUCGAAUCCCUCACAUGGCA
rnacentral:tRNA from 1 species